UACGGAGGGGGCAAGCGUUGUUCGGAAUUACUGGGCGUAAAGGGCGCGUAGGCGGCGCGGGUAGUCAUCGGUGAAAGUUCAGGGCUCAACUCUGAAUCGGCCGGUGAUACUCCCGUGCUCGAGCACUGUAGAGGCAGGUGGAAUUCCGGGUGUAGCGGUGGAAUGCGUAGAGAUCCGGAAGAACACCGGUGGCGAAGGCGGCCUGCUGGGCAGUAGCUGACGCUGAUGCGCGACAGCGUGGGGAGCAAACAGG
rnacentral:rRNA from 1 species